rnacentral:rRNA from 1 species
AUUGAACGCUGGCGGCGUGCCUAAUACAUGCAAGUCGAACGCAGUGGGGACGGGUGAGUAACACGUGGGUAACCUCCCAUCAGAGGGGAUAACACUUGGAAACAGGUGCUAAACCGAUACUGAUGGAUGGACCCGCGGUGCAUUAGCUAGUUGGUGAGGUAACGGCUCACCAAGGCCACGAUGCAUAGACGACCUGAGAGGGGGAUCGGCCACACUGGGACUGAGACACGGCCCAGACUCCUACGGGAGGCAGCAGUGGGGAAUUUUGGACAAUGGGCGCAAGCCUGAUCCAGCCAUGCCGCGUGUCUGAAGAAGGCCUUCGGGUUGUAAAGGACUUUUGUCAGGGAAGCGGUACCUGAAGAAUAAGCACCGGCUAACUACGUGCCAGCAGCCGCGGUAAUUC